UACGUAGGGCGAGCGUUUGUCCGGAUUAUUGGGCGUAAAGAGCUUGUAGGCGGUUUGUCGCGUCUGCUGUGAAAUUUCGGGGCUCAACCCCGAACUUGCAGUGGGUACGGGCAGACUAGAGUGUGGUAGGGGAGACUGGAAUUCCUGGUGUAGCGGUGAAAUGCGCAGAUAUCAGGAGGAACACCGGUGGCGAAGGCGGAUCUCUGGGCCUGUUCUGACGCUGAGGCGCGAAAGCUAGGGGAGCGAACAGG
rnacentral:rRNA from 1 species